rnacentral:rRNA from 1 species
AGUGAACGCUGGCGGUAGGCCUAACACAUGCAAGUCGAACGGCAGCACAGUAAGAGCUUGCUCUUACGGGUGGCGAGUGGCGGACGGGUGAGGAAUACAUCGGAAUCUACUUUUUCGUGGGGGAUAACGUAGGGAAACUUACGCUAAUACCGCAUACGACCUACGGGUGAAAGCAGGGGAUCUUCGGACCUUGCGCGAUUGAAUGAGCCGAUGUCGGAUUAGCUGGUUGGCGGGGUAAAGGCCCAUCAAGGCGACGAUCCGUAGCUGGUCUGAGAGGAUGAUCAGCCACACUGGAACUGAGACACGGUCCAGACUCCUACGGGAGGCAGCAGUGGGGAAUAUUGGACAAUGGGCGCAAGCCUGAUCCAGCCAUACCGCGUGGGUGAAGAAGGCCUUCGGGUUGUAAAGCCCUUUUGUUGGGAAAGAAAAGCAGCAGGUUAAUACCCCGCUGUUCUGACGGUACCCAAAGAAUAAGCACCGGCUAACUUCGUG